AUGUGUGUCAACAUUUCAAACUGUCCUAACAGUUCUACUGACCAGACACCCUGGAGAAUCAUGGCCAGGGUUACAGCACCGCACACACAUCCUUCCUCUACCAGAGACCACAGAGGAAGUGUGUGUGUGUGUCAUCUCAGGUCAGAAGUGCACACACCAAAACCGUUGUGGCUGUUCACAAAAGCGGUUUCCUCUCAGUUUCAUCACUUGGGGGCGGCCAUUGUUAGUGUGCGGAAAUGCCUGCAGAGAGAAUAUGAAAAUAUUGGCAAGUCCUUACAGCUCUUCUGGAGACCUACAGCUGCACCGACCUCACGGUGAACACACACACACUCACAGAGCUGUCAUACAGUGUACAGUCUGUGUGUUGUGUGAUGACAGACACACAGCACUCUGCUGUGUGGCUCUGGAUGGGUGACUCAUACUGAUGAUGUCACAGGGUGAUCCUAACAGCUGGCUCUGGUUGAGGACUCAUACUAAUGAUGUCAUAGCCUGGGGACUGGACGGAAGCAUCAACUUGUUAUUUUUUAUUUGACCUUUAUUGUUCUGAAGCCAGUUCUACAACAUCAUCUGUCCAUUUAUAAACUUAACAACAGCGAGUAAGAGUCUUUAAUACAGAAACAUCUAAGACCUCUUCAAACAUCAGGAGAAGUCUUGUGUUUGCCUCUGGCAGCCCUGGGGCACUUAAGGGGGAAAACGCCAGUCUAUAGAGAUGCUGAUUCCCCCGACCACACGCAGAUCAGAUCUGUGAUGUGGAAGGAGAGAAUCUCCUCCCCUCCCCUCCUCUGACUGUCUGUCUGUCUGACUGACAUAAGCAUUAUAGGGACAUGGAGGCCCUGAAGGCUUUUCAGCUCAGCUCAAGGAAUCUCCCCUUGCGCCACAGAGCCAAUGCUUCCCUGACACGCACACACAACCCGAUAUGAAACUACUCCACCGCCACCACAACAUCCAGCCACUCAGGGACCCAUCAUGACUGGAGAUCUAUGGAGUGCAUGACUUCGACAUUCAAAUAAAUCGUGCAUUGAAAAAGAAAAGUCAAAAGGGUGGAUUUGAGUGAAAAUGUGAGUUAUCCAUAUCUGAUCCUUAAUGUUCAGUGUCUCUAUAGAAAUAAUGCCACACAUCCAUUUCAUCAAACAGUGACAGUAUCUGUAUACAGUGACAGUCUGAAAGACCAACACUGUUUGUGAUCUCUUCUUCAGCAAUACUAACUAACCUGCCGUCCAGCAGAGGAUGCAGUGGAAGUGGGCAUUGCCAGGAGAAGACGUUGACUAUUUUGGGCAGAGCAAAAUGUGAUUGGGCAUGCAUGAUCCAAGACAUGAUCCAAGACACUUUGAGAACCACUGGUCUUGAGAAGCAGCCAUUGAGUUUACCAGAGGUCAACAUCUGUGUUGUGAAUACUCUACCGUGU
rnacentral:lncRNA from 13 species